UACGUAGGUGGCAAGCGUUGUUCGGAAUUAUUGGGCGUAAAGGGCGCGUAGGCGGUCGUGACAAGUCACUUGUGAAAUCUCCGGGCUUAACUCGGAACGGUCAAGUGAUACUGUCGGACUAGAGUACAGAAGGGGGCAACUGGAAUUCUCGGUGUAGCGGUGAAAUGCGUAGAUAUCGAGAGGAACACCUGCGGCGAAGGCGGGUUGCUGGGCUGACACUGACGCUGAAGCGCGAAAGCUAGGGGGAGCGAACGGG
rnacentral:rRNA from 1 species